GGGGCUGACUUGGAUUUCGACAGAUUUCUUGUCGCACAGAUAGCAUGCCAAGCGCUACUUGUAAAACAGCAACAAAAAUAACUGUAAACAACGCAGAUUACGCUCCAGCUUACGCUAAAGCUGCGUGAGUUAAUCUCCUUUUGGAGCUGGACUGAUUAGAAUUUCUAGCGUUUUAAUCACUCCAUAACCUUAAGCUAGACGCUUUUAAAAGGUGGUUCGCCUUUUAAACUAAGAAACAAGAACUCUUGAAACUACCUCAAGGUUUUAGAAAGUUGGACCAGAGCUAGUUUUAAGGCUAAAAAACUAACCAAUUUUCUAAGCAUUGUAGAAGUUUGUGUUUAGGGCAAGAUUUUUGGACUGGGGUUCGAUUCCCCACAGCUCCACCA
rnacentral:tmRNA from 1 species